GGGCACAUGGUGUAGUUGGUUAUCACAUCCGCUUAGCACAGUUUGUGAUUGCGGGGGGUGCUGGGUUCAAUUCCCAGUGUGUCCA